rnacentral:sRNA from 14 species
CUUUAAAAAUCUGGAUCAAGCUGAAAAUUGAAACGACACACAGUUAAUGUGUGUUCGAGUCUCUCAAAUUUUCGCAAUCUGAAGACAUCUUCGG